UUGAUCCCCACAAUCACACUUUAGAGUAGGCGUGAUCAUCCCAUUUAACAGAGGAUGACUCUGAAGUUAUCCAGGAAACUGAUUGGACCUCAGAGCCCCUGGUCUCAGCCCAGUCAAAGUGGGUGCCUCCAGUUCCUCAAGCCAGAAACUUCCUCGAAUUUUUCCUUUUCCCCACCUCUUGUUUAUUCCAUCAGCAAACCCCAAAAUAUCUCCCUGUCCCCUCUGUCUCCAUCUCCACCACGCCAUCAUAGUCCAGGUAACCAUGUGCCACCCAGACCCCGCAACAGCCUCUGUGCUGUGCUCCCUGCGCCUCCCACCUCCCACCCACUCCAGCUGCUUCUCGUGGCAGCCAGAGCUGAAACCUCCAACUCUCCCAUGUAGCCAGCCUUGAGAACGCAGUGCGAUGGCAGCUGUAGAACAGAAGGAACCCCCUCUGCAGAGGGGCGGGGGAGCACAAGUGGAAAUGAUGCCCUUUGCCAGAGAGUACUGCAUGGCUUCCAGAGGAGGAAGCUGGAUCUUGGAGGAUGAGUGGCAGGGAAGCCAGGGAAGGGUGGUUCUGACAGAAGGACCUGCAUGGAUGCCUGUGUGCAGAGGCCCACAGGUGUGACUGGCUUAUUUGGAAGAAAACCAAGCUGCAGAGGGAGAAAGGCUGGAGAAGCAGGUUGCAGCCUCGGAUUGAACAAAUGGCCUUUGAAUGUGAAACCAAGGGUGUGGUCUUCCUCUCUCUUUACUUGCCUGUGGGGUCACAGACGUGGUCUCACACUCUUUCUUCCUCCUGUCCUCUAUGUGACCCCGAAGUCAUUGAGAAGUUUGAUUAUGUGUUUGCCGAGAACGGGACGGUGCAGUAUAAGCAUGGACGACUGCUCUCCAAGCAGACCAUCCAGAACCACCUGGGGGAGGAGCUGCUGCAGGACUUGAUCAACUUCUGCCUCAGCUACAUGGCCCUGCUCAGGCUGCCCAAGAAGCGGUGAGGUCCCACCAGCCUGGUCUCCAGAACCUGGGGCCUGAGGGAGGAGAAGUGUGGGUCCCUCAGAGGGAGCCUGGAGAUACUUGGGCCCCUGAUUUUUUGCGGGGAGUGUGGAUUCUUGUCCCCUUUGAAGUCCUAGGACGCUGGGGUCCCAGGUGGGGCUAGAUUUGAAUUCAGGGCUGUUCUGGUUCUCUCUGGCUCCCCGCCCUCCCUCACCACCAGUGGAACCUUCAUCGAGUUCCGGAAUGGCAUGCUGAACAUCUCGCCCAUUGGCCGGAGCUGCACCCUGGAGGAGAGGAUCGAGUUCUCCGAACUGGACAAGAAAGAGAAGAUCCGGGAGAAGUUCGUGGAAGCCCUGAAAACAGAGUUUGCUGGCAAAGGGCUGAGGUUCUCUCGAGGAGGCAUGAUCAGCUUUGAUGUCUUCCCCGAGGGCUGGGACAAGCGCUACUGCCUGGAUAGCCUGGACCAGGACAGCUUCGACACCAUCCACUUCUUUGGGAACGAGACCAGCCCUGGUGGGAACGACUUUGAGAUCUUUGCCGACCCCCGGACUGUUGGCCACAGCGUGGUGUCUCCUCAGGACACAGUGCAGCGAUGCCGGGAGAUUUUCUUCCCAGAGACAGCCCAUGAGGCGUGACCGGGGCCCACAUCUGUGUGUUGUGACUUCUGAAGAGUUUGGCCUAGGCCUAAAGAGAGGUCCUGGUGUUGGAUAGAUGCCAGGGCCCCUCCUCUGGCCCAGGAUGCCUGCUGCAAGCCCACCCAGAUGGGGCCAGAGUCUGUGUGGACAACCGUCCCCAGCCAGUCAGCUCCUAGUGGCACUGGCUUCGUCCUUCCAGGGCCCAGAGUGUUCCCCGUGCUCCACCUGGUGGCCCAGGCCACAGCUGCUGCUUGUAUUUCGGUACAGAACAGGUUUCUUUCUGCGCCAGGAGGAGGCGUGCGCAAGUGUCGGUAGGAGAUCUAGCCUGCCCUGCCUGCCUACCCUGGGCAAUGAGGUACGGUGGGGAAGGUGCCUAUUUUAGAGAACUUUGUCACAGUAUUAAAGUUCCCAGAAC
rnacentral:sRNA from 1 species